GAUGAACGCUAGCGGGAGGCCUAACACAUGCAAGCCGAGCGGUAGAGAUUCUUCGGAAUCUUGAGAGCGGCGUACGGGUGCGGAACACGUGUGCAACCUGCCUUUAUCAGGGGGAUAGCCUUUCGAAAGGAAGAUUAAUACCCCAUAAUAUAUUUGAUGGCAUCAUUAGAUAUUGAAAGCUUUGGCGGAUAGAGAUGGGCACGCGCAAGAUUAGAUAGUUGGUGAGGUAACGGCUCACCAAGUCGAUGAUCUUUAGGGGGCCUGAGAGGGUGAUCCCCCACACUGGUACUGAGGCACGGACCAGACUCCUACGGGAGGCAGCAGUGAGGAAUAUUGGACAAUGGGUUAGCGCCUGAUCCAGCCAUCCCGCGUGAAGAACGACGGCCCUAUGGGUUGUAAACUUCUUUUGUACAGGGAUAAACCUACUCUCGUGAGAGUAGCUGAAGGUACUGUACGAAUAAGCACCGGCUAACUCCGUG
rnacentral:rRNA from 1 species